UAUUUUAAAACAAGGAUAUAGUACACCGUGUAUAGGUACUCUAUAGCUUACCGUGUAUAGAUAGUCAAAACUAGAGUUUAAUUCACACCACCCGCUGAGCUUUAGAUAGCCUCCACAACGACCAUGGGAGAUAACUUAAGCGUAGAGGAACACAAUGAGGACGUUUUUAGAAGCCUAAAGCCAGGGGAUAUUGUCAAGUUUGAUCGUGGGGCUUAUUGACAUUUCGCCUUGUAUAUCGGUCAAGGUAAAGUGAUCCACCUGACGGCUCCAGACAACGGUCACGGCAUAUCCGGCAACAUCCGGCCACGUCACGUGGCAUCAGUGGCCAGUGUUCCAGUGGACAAGGCUGUUGUAGCAGAAGAUGAUUUUUUCUUUGUGGCAGGCCACGACAGAGCUUACAAGGCCAACAGAGAGGAGUGGCCUAGUUUCGAUAUCGAUUUGGUUCUCAGGAAAGCCAAACAGAAACUAGGAAAUAAGGAGUAUCAUUUACUUACCAGUAACUGUGAACAUUUUGUGAAUGAGAUAAAGUAUGGUAGAAAUCAAAGUAAUCAGGUAACAGUUGCAGCAGGUGUAACGGGAGGGGUGGGUGGAGCAGCAGUGAUUUUGGGGGUUGCUGCGGUUCUCGUUGGUGUGAUGGUGUAUAGAAAACAGACCAGAACCAAAGACUAAAUCAUAAGGCUUAUUGUGUUGUCGUUACUUAUCAUUUUAAAAUGUUUUUGCAGGAUCUAUAAAGCAUUGUAUUAAAAUUGUAUACGUAUUAAUUCUCGUAUGCCACUGUUUUAGUUUGAUUCCUCAUUUACAACCCAAACUGUAUGCGACACAUAGGCCUAAAUACUUCGCAUGGGUAAUUUACACUUUUUAGAGAAUUAAUCAUGAUCGCGUAAAACAACAAUUACAUAAAUAUUUACAUCUUUUAAUAAAAGAGGCAUAAAAACAAUAGACAUAAUUGUAACUAG